CUCUCAUGUCUCUUUCCUCACAUGAAAAACAGAUCCAUGUCCAUCUGAUCUCAUCCUUCAUCGCAUAGAGGUGACAAUUAAUCCACAUGGAGCAAGUAGCAGACAGGUUAUAUGCAUCAACUCUCUAAUCUCAUUACAUAUCCAUGUCCAUCUGAUCUCAUCCUUCAUCGCAUAGAGGUGACAAUUAAUCCUCACGGAGCAAGCAGCAGACAGAUCCAUGUCCAUCCAAUCUCAUCCUUCAUCGCAUAGUAAAUCCUCACGGAGCAAGCAACAGACAGGAUUCACUAGCUGCAGUCAACAUGCGUCAAACUCACAAUGGACGAGAUCCAAACAAUAAAAGCAAUAUGUCGAGUGAUCAAACGAUCCAAAGACCUGGCCAAGCAACCUCCAAACUAGCGAUGGUAGAAUCUAAUGAUAGUCAACCUGCAGACAUCAUUAGAGCGACAAUGAAUGAUGCUG